GGCAUAAUGUAUUUUAUGGAGUGGAGUGUUGGAGUGGAGUAUUGGAGUGGAGUGUUGGAGUGAGAUUUUGGAGUGAGAUUUUGGAGUGAAAUUUUUGGAGUGAGAUUUUGGAGUGAUUUUUUUUUGGUGAAAAUUUAGAGUAUAUAGUAUAUUAUUCUAGAAGUAGUAGAAUGUUAGGGGGUUAAAUGUUUUGUUUAAUUUUGAACAAGUAUUCAUUAAAAAUAAAGAAAGAAAAAUUACAGUGCUAAAUAUUGAUUUAAAUUUUGAUAACAGAUAAUCAUGAAUAAUUUUUUCAAUUCAAUUUUUUUAAAAACAGUUUUUUAUAAUUUUCUUGCAUAAUUUCUUUUAUCUGUAUAUUCAUUUUCUUUUUUCUUUUUUUUCUUUUAUAAAGUAAAAAUUUUCAAUAUCACAUAUUUUAAAAUUAUUUUCUAUAUUGGUACAACCCGCAAAUGAUUUGCAUAAUAUAUUAUUACCUGAAACCUGUGAUAACCCAGUUCACACGCAAAGAAAUACUGCAACCGUUUAAAGAACAUUAUAGUAAAAUCUGCUGAAACUAUAUUCUUGUGAGUCAAUUGAUUCUAAUGAAUUGAUAACUGUUUCUUCUAAGUUAUCAAUGUUCAUAGUUGUGUACAUCGACGUUACAUCAUAGGCAAUAAGGAUGCAUUCUUUUGUGACCUCGUGUGACUCUAUUUUAUUAAUGAAGUCUUUUGUAUAUUGAAUGUAAAAGUUAUGCCUCUUCAAUAAUGGUUUUAAGAUUAGACCCAGUAAUCUUUCAAUGCGUCUCGUGGGAGAGUUACACUUAUUGAUGAUUGGUCGGUAAGGAAUGUUUAUGUUUCCAACUAUUUGACCAGUUCGGAAUGCCUCAUUAAUCAUUUCUAGAUUAAUUUUAUGAACUUUUGGAAGAAGGUACAUGUGUCCGUGUUUUGAUUCAUUAUUAUUCCUCAAGAAAUUAUAAGUUUGUGGAUCUAUUUCUUUUUUCCUAUAUAGAUUUUCAACAAUAUCUUUUAUAGAUUUGACAACAA
rnacentral:lncRNA from 1 species